rnacentral:rRNA from 1 species
UACGUAGGUGGCAAGCGUUGUCCGGAAUUAUUGGGCGUAAAGCGCGCGCAGGCGGUCCUUUAAGUCUGAUGUGAAAGCCCACGGCUCAACCGUGGGAGGUCAUUGGAAACUGGGGGACUUGAGUGCAGAAGAGGAAAGUGGAAUUCCAAGUGUAGCGGUGAAAUGCGUAGAGAUUUGGAGGAACACCAGUGGCGAAGGCGACUUUCUGGUCUGUAACUGACGCUGAGGCGCGAAAGCGUGGGGAGCAAACAGG